GUGGAUCAAUUUUAUGGCAUCGUUGCAGGUUGCAAAUUCGUUUAGUCCGCGCUCUUAUUGGCAGAGAGUUUUUCCCUAAAGGCAAGAGGUCAUUGGGUCGAAAUUAAGGCGUCAUUGCAGAUAGCAGGAUACAUUGAGGCACGCUCUUAUUGGCAGAGUUUUUCCUAUAGGAAGGAGAUUGGACCAGGUGAGGCCCCAGGAAGACAGUUUACGUGCCAUUUUGCUCCAGAAUAGGAGCAUGUUCGCCUGUGGAGUGGCAGCGCAGUGGACUAUCAGCUGGUACACGGCGUUGGAGCAGCAUCUGUUCAUCUGGAGGUUUAUUUGGAGGAGAAC